ensembl:lncRNA
GGGAAACUAGGUCAAAGAAGGUGCACUAUCAAGACUUGAUGCAGUUCAUACAGAAAGCUGUACAAGAAGAAAAACAGCAAAGUGUUGAGGGCGAGAUCUGGGGUGGGUCAGUGGCCAGUACUGACCUGGAAUCAGUGAGUGACAGGAGCGAUGCCAAUGCAGAACAAAGAGAAACAUGGCUUCAGAGGUUCCAGAAGAUGGAGAUGGCCUUACAAAUGUGUGACACCCAAAACGCAGGUUAUGUGGACAGAGACCUAGCCAAACGCCUGCUACAGAACUACAGCCUCAUCUUUGAUCUGAAUCUGAGUCCUCUGAAGGUCAGCGAGGUCACGCGUAACACUCAGAUAGAGGGCAAAGUUCACCUCGCAUCAGCUCUGCAGAAACUGAAGGAACUAAACACAGCUUAACCUUUUUCUUAAACCGAAGCAAAUGCUACAGCAUUGCAGUCAUCUUUAAUAAAUGCUCUGCCUGGGAAAUAUUAACAGUAACAAAAAAAUAAUAAUAAUAAUUAAAUUUUUUCAACAUUGAAAACUGAGUGACGCUCAUAUAAACAGGUCAUGUUUGCUCCAAAAAU